rnacentral:rRNA from 1 species
UACGUAGGCAGCGAGCGUUGUUCGGAAUUACUUGGGCGUAAAGAGUGUGUAGGCGGUGUUCCCGAGUCUGUUGUGAAAUCUCCCGGCUUAACUGGGAGGGUGCAGAGGAAACUAGAAUGCUAGAGGGUGGGAGAGGUAAAGCGGAAUUCCUGGUGUAGCGGUGAAAUGCGUAGAUAUCAGGAGGAACACCUGUGGUGUAGACAGCUUACUGGACCACUUCUGACGCUGAGACACGAAAGCGUGGGUAGCAAACAGG